AGGUGUGGGGGGUGUCGACUCCCUCCGUGCCGACGCUAACGCAUUAAGUGCCCCGCCUGGGGAGUACGGCCGCAAGGCUAAAACUCAAAGGAAUUGACGGGGGCCCGCACAAGCAGCGGAGCAUGUGGUUUAAUUCGACGCAACGCGAAGAACCUUACCUGGGCUUGACAUGUUCCUGACAGCCGUGGAAACACGGUCUCCCUUCGGGGCAGGAUCACAGGUGGUGCAUGGCUGUCGU
rnacentral:rRNA from 1 species